rnacentral:misc_RNA from 1 species
GUGAGUCAUCGAAUCUUUGAACGCACAUUGCGCCCCUUGGUAUUCCGAGGGGCAUGCCCGUUCGAGCGUCAUUAUAACCCCUCAAGCCUGGCUUGGUGUUGGGGCCUGCUGUUACCAGCAGCCCUUAAAAUCAGUGGCGGUGCCAUCUGGCUCUAAGCGUAGUAAUACUCCUCGCUACAGGGUCCCGGUGGAUGCCUGCCAUCAACCCCUAAUUUUCUAUGGUUGACCUCGGAUCGGGUAGGGAUACCCGCUGAACUUAAGCAUAUCAAUAAGCGGAGGA